CACGCAUGACACACUGCAUAUCAAUAAGCGGAGGAAAAGAAACUAACAAGGAUUCCCCUAGUAACGGCGAGUGAAGCGGGAAGAGCUCAAAUUUGAAAUCUUCAAGGGUUUCCCUUGACGAAUUGUGGUUUAAAGAAGUGUUUUCUGUUAGAGAGGUGGUAAAAGUUCUUUGGAAUAGGACAUCAUAGAGGGUGAGAAUCCCGUAUUUGACCGUUACUUUCCAGCUGUGUGAUACACUUUCAAAGAGUCGGAUUGUUUGGGAAUGCAGUCCAAAAUGGGUGGUAAAUUUCAUCUAAAGCUAAAUAUUGGCGAGAGACCGAUAGCGAACAAGUACCGUGAGGGAAAGAUGAAAAGAACUUUGAAAAGAGAGUUAAACAGUACGUGAAAUUGUCAAAAGGGAAGCGUUUGACACCAGUGUUGUUUUCUCGAAAAUCAAUUAAAAAUGAUGGGAUUUUGUGUUGUAUUGACUUUAUCAGCUUUCUGCACUUUUUCCUUAUCUUUUUUAAUGCACUUUUCGUUUAACAAGUCAACAUCAAUUUCUUUUGUUGUAAAAGAGUCAUUGGAAGGUGGCUUUUUCUUCGGAAAAAGUGUUUAUAGCCUUUGGCUUCUGCAAUCGGAGAGAUUGAGGUCUGCAGCGUAGAUCCUUCGGGGUUAGAUACAUUUGUGCUAAGUUAUAGCCUUGUAUAGACAACUUGUUGACUAUGCUCAGUCAUGUAGCUUACUCGCUUGUGCUAUUUUACCUACGCUUAGGAUGUUGACUGAUAUGUAGUCGUA
rnacentral:rRNA from 1 species